rnacentral:rRNA from 1 species
GGAUUCCCCUAGUAACUGCGAGUGAAACGGGAAAAGCUCAAAUUUAAAAUCUGGCAGUCUUUGGCUGUCCGAGUUGUAGUCUGGAGAAGCGUCCUCCGCGCUGGACCGUGUACAAGUCUCCUGGAACGGAGCGUCAUAGAGGGUGAGAAUCCCGUCUUUGACACGGACUACCAGUGCUUUGUGAUGCGCUCUCAAAGAGUCGAGUUGUUUGGGAAUGCAGCUCAAAAUGGGUGGUAAACUCCAUCUAAAGCUAAAUAUUGGCGAGAGACCGAUAGCGAACAAGUACCGUGAGGGAAAGAUGAAAAGCACUUUGGAAAGAGAGUUAAACAGUACGUGAAAUUGCUGAAAGGGAAACGCUUGAAGUCAGUCGCGUCCGCUAGAACUCAGCCUGGCUUUUGCUUGGUGCAUUUUCUAGUGGACGGGCCAGCAUCACUUUUGGCUGCGGGAUAAAGGUCGCAGGAAUGUGGCACCUUCGGGUGUGUUAUAGCCUGUGAUUGUAUACCGUGGCUGGGAGUGAGGACCGCAGCACGCCUUCAUGGCGGGGGUUCGCCCACCUUCGUGCUUAGGAUGCUGGCGUAAU